UUCUAUGGCGGCCCGUACGGGGCAGGCUUCGGCCUGGCCGGUUCCCUUGGUUUCCGGUUUGCUACCCCUGUACGGUCCGCCACCAUA
rnacentral:antisense_RNA from 1 species